rnacentral:rRNA from 1 species
GACGAACGCUGGCGGCGUGCUUAACACAUGCAAGUCGAACGGAAAGGCCCUGCUUGCAGGGUACUCGAGUGGCGAACGGGUGAGUAACACGUGGGUGAUCUGCCCUGCACUUCGGGAUAAGCUUGGGAAACUGGGUCUAAUACCGGAUAGGAGCCAUCUUUAGUGUGGUGGUUGGAAAGUUUUUUCGGUGUAGGAUGAGCUCGCGGCCUAUCAGCUUGUUGGUGGGGUAAUGGCCUACCAAGGCGGCGACGGGUAGCCGGCCUGAGAGGGUGUACGGCCACAUUGGGACUGAGAUACGGCCCAGACUCCUACGGGAGGCAGCAAUGGGGAAUAUUGCACAAUGGGCGCAAGCCUGAUGCAGCGACGCCGCGUGGGGGAUGAAGGCCUUCGGGUUGUAAACUCCUUUCGCUAGGGACGAAGCUUUUUUGUGACGGUACCUAGAUAAGAAGCACCGGCUAACUACGUG